rnacentral:rRNA from 1 species
UGUUCAACAUCUAGUAUCCAUUGUUUACAGCUAGGACUACUGGGGUAUCUAAUCCCAUUUGCUACCCUAGCUUUCGUCUCUGAGUGUCAGUAAUAGCCCAGUAAAGUGCCUUCGCCAUCGGUGUUCUUUCCAAUCUCUACGCAUUUCACCGCUCCACUGGAAAUUCCCUUUACCCCUACUAUACUCUAGUCUGAUAGUUUCGACUGCGGUUUUGAAGUUGAGCUUCAAGAUUUAACAGUUGACUUAUCAAACAACCUACAGACGCUUUACGCCCAGUGAUUCCGGAUAACACUUGCAUCCUCCGUAUUACCGCGGCUGCUGGCACGGAGUUAGCCGAUGCUUAUUCUUCAGGUACACGUCAUUUAUUCCUCCCUGAAAAAAGAGGUUUACAACCCAUAGGCAGUCAUCCCUCACGCGAGAUUGCUCCGUCAGGCUUUCGCCCAUUGCGGAAAAUUCCCUACUGCUGCCUCCCGUAGGAGUCUGGGCCGUGUCUCAGUCCCAGUGUGGCUGAUCAUCCUCUCAAACCAGCUACUGAUCGUCGCCUUGGUAGGCCUUUACCCUACCAACUAGCUAAUCAGACGCGAGCUCCUCCUUAGGCGGAUAAAUCCUUUCACCUCUCGGCGUAUGGAGUAUUAGCAACCGUUUCCAGCUGUUAUCCUCCUCCUAAGGGCAGAUUCUCACGUGUUACUCACCCGUCCGCCACUAGAGCUAAAAGCUCUCGUACGACUUGCAUGUAUUAAGCAUACCGCCAGCGUUCAUCCUGAGCCAGGAUCAAACUCU